rnacentral:rRNA from 1 species
GACGAACGCUGGCGGCGUGCCUAAUACAUGCAAGUAGAACGCUGAAGAGAGGAGCUUGCUCUUCUUGGAUGAGUUGCGAACGGGUGAGUAACGCGUAGGUAACCUGCCUUGUAGCGGGGGAUAACUAUUGGAAACGAUAGCUAAUACCGCAUAACAAUGGAUGACACAUGUCAUUUAUUUGAAAGGGGCAAUUGCUCCACUACAAGAUGGACCUGCGUUGUAUUAGCUAGUAGGUGAGGUAAUGGCUCACCUAGGCGACGUUACAUAGCCGACCUGAGAGGGUGAUCGGCCACACUGGGACUGAGACACGGCCCAGACUCCUACGGGAGGCAGCAGUAGGGAAUCUUCGGCAAUGGGGGCAACCCUGACCGAGAAACGCCGCGUGAGUGAAGAAGGUUGUCGGAUCGUAAAGCUCUGUUGUAAGUCAAGAACGGGUGUGAGAGUGGAAAGUUCACACUGUGACGGUAGCUUACCAGAAAGGGACGGCUAACUACGUG